UUGCACAUUUUAUUGGCCUGCUUUCUUUUGUAUGUGUAAUGGUGUUAUUUCUUCUUUGUUAUACAAAGAGUUGAAGGUUAAUUAGCAGUAUAACUUUAAGUAGUAAUGCUGCCAGUCUCUUUCACACAUAC